rnacentral:tRNA from 1 species
UCUCGGACAAGACGCGUUGAAUGUUUUGCCCUCUUUGGAAGGGCAGCAAGCGGAAUUGAUCUAUGGUGCCGCAGGGUGCAGUCCUUAUUUGAAAG